rnacentral:rRNA from 1 species
AGAGUUUGAUCAUGGCUCAGAACGUACGCUGGCGGCACGCCUAAUACAUGCAAGUCGAACGAGGUAGCAAUACCUAGUGGCAGACGGGUGAGUAACAUGUGGGUACCUUCCCUUUGGUGAGGAAUAACACGAGGAAACUUGUGCUAAUACCUCAUAAGUCUUCACAGAGAAAGCUUUAUGCGCCAAUGGAUGGGCCUGCACUUGAUUAGUUUGUUGGUGAGGUAAUGGCUCACCAAGACUUUGAUCAAUAGCUGAUUUGAGAGGAUGAUCAGCCACAUUGGGACUGAGACACGGCCCAAACUCCUACGGGAGGCAGCAGUAGGGAAUCUUGCACAAUGGAGGAAACUCUGAUGCAGCGAUGCCGCGUGAGUGAAGAAGGCCUUUGGGUUGUAAAGCUCUUUCGUCGGGGAAGAAAAUGACUGUACCCGAAUAAGAAGGUCCGGCUAACUUCGUGCCAGCAGCCGCGGUAAUACGAAGGGACCUAGCGUAGUUCGGAAUUACUGGGCUUAAAGAGUUCGUAGGUGGUUAAAAAAGUUGGUGGUGAAAUCCCAGAGCUUAACUCUGGAACUGCCAUCAAAACUUUUUAGCUAGAGUAUGAUAGAGGAAAGCAGAAUUUCUAGUGUAGAGGUGAAAUUCGUAGAUAUUAGAAAGAAUACCAAUUGCGAAGGCAGCUUUCUGGAUCAUUACUGACACUGAGGAACGAAAGCAUGGGUAGCGAAGAGGAUUAGAUACCCUCGUAGUCCAUGCCGUAAACGAUGUGUGUUAGAUGUUGGAAAUUUAUUUUCAGUAUCGCAGCGAAAGCGUUAAACACACCGCCUGGGGAGUACGACCGCAAGGUUAAAACUCAAAUGAAUUGACGGGGACCCGCACAAGUAGUGGAGCAUGUGGUUUAAUUCGAAGAUACGCGCAGAACCUUACCAACACUUGACAUGUUUGUCGCGACUUUAAGAGAUUAAAGUCUUCGGUUCGGCCGGACAAAACACAGGUGCUGCAUGGCUGUCGUCAGCUCGUGUCGUGAGAUGUUGGGUUAAGUCCCGCAACGAGCGCAACCCUCACUUUUAGUUGCCACCAUUUAGUUGGGCACUCUGAAAGAACUGCCAGUGAUAAGCUGGAGGAAGGUGGGGAUGACGUCAAGUCCUCAUGGCCCUUACGUGUUGGGCUACACACGUGCUACAAUGGCAUUUACAAUAGGAAGCAAGAUGGCGACAUCAAGCAAAUCCUAAAAAAAUGCCUCAGUUCGGAUUGUACUCUGCAACUCGAGUACAUGAAGCUGGAAUUACUAGUAAUCGCGGAUCAGCGCGCCGCGGUGAAUACGUUCCCGGGUCUUGUACACACCGCCCGUCACACCAUGGGAGUUGGUUCUACCUUAAGGCAAAGCUUAAAACCUUUGACCACGGUAUAGUCAGCGACUGGGGUGAAGUCGUAACAAGGUAGCCGUAGGGGAACCUGCGGCUG